rnacentral:rRNA from 1 species
AACGAACGCUGGCGGCAUGCCUAACACAUGCAAGUCGAACGAGAACUUCGGGUCUAGUGGCGCACGGGUGCGUCACCCGUCGGAAGAUGAACUUAGGUUUGGACUAACUACCCGAAAGGGGUGCUAAUAGCGGAUAAUGUCUUAGGCCCAAAGAUUUAUCGAAUUUGGUUGGGCCCGCGUUGGAUAAGCUAGUUGUUAGGGUAAAAGACUAACACGGCGACGAUCCAUAGCUGGUCAGAGAGAAUGAUUAGCCACACUGAGACUGAGACACGGCCCAGACUCCUACGGGAGGCAGCAGUGGGUAAUAUUGGACAAUGGGCUAAGGCCUGAUGCAGCAAUGCCGCGUGAAUGAUGAAGGCCUUAGAGUUGUAAAGCUCAUGUACCCAGGAAGAUAAUGACAGUACCGGGAGAGUAAGCACCGGCUAACUCCGUG